GGCCCUGACAGACCAGUGGUAGAGACCAUACAUGAGGGCCCUGACAGACUAGUGGUAGAGACCAUACAUGAGGGGCCCUGACAGACCAGUGGUAGAGACUAUACAUGAGGGGCC
rnacentral:lncRNA from 1 species